CCCAGUACGGCACUAGUAGGACGCCGCCCUCCUUAAACGCCCGCCGCAGCUGCCGAAUGCGAAUGGCCGUACCCCCUUCCACAGCAGCGCUGGGGUCUUGCUGCUGCGUUUGUGUCAAGAGGUAACGUUUCGGUCCGAGGAACUCCACCGCCGCCUGCUGCCCGUCACUCAGCCGCACCACCGCAUCCACUGGCGCCAACACUCCUGGCGCGACAACGCCCGUCUGAAGGGACUGAACGGCUAGGCCCCCUGCUGCCUUGAGGCCCUGCUGCUCAAGCCGCCGCAGCGCUGCAACGACCUGCUUUUGAGUAUCUGAUGUGGGCUUGGCGUCUUCCCUCUCAGUAGUCACCGCCGCUGCCAUCGCCGCCUGCAGUCCGCUGCCGCUGCCCAGGGCCGCCGCCACCUCGCCGCCUAGCUCCUGCUGCGCCUGCCACAGCUGUUUGAGAUGCUCAGUUGUAAGACCCUCCCAACGGCUUACUGCUUCACGGGCCAGCUGAAUGGAUAGCUGCUUCAUGUCGGGAGAAUACGUGCCUCCGAACACAGCCAUGGCCCACAGGCUGUUGCAUACGUGCUGGUGCAGGACUGUGUCAGAGUCAUGCUGCAGCAGCUCGCCCAGCCGACCGCACACCGCCGCCUCCAAGCCAGCGUGCCGCAGCUGCAGCACCGCCAGCGCGUACAGCGUAUUGGCACAGUUCUGACCACCGGCACUACUGGCGCGCAUGGCUGCUACUGCUGCGCCCGAGUCAAGCAGCUCCGCCGGCGGCUGGUGGCGCAUCAACGCAAGCGCGUACAGCAGAUUGGACCAGGCCUGAGAUGUUGCGCGGGCCAUGGCGCCCGACUGCGUUGCUGCGUCCACCGCUGCUGAAACCCACUGCCGCUGCUCGGCCGGCGCCUCCGGGCCCGCCCCAAAUCCCAUCUUGGCUAGGGCCCACGCUGAGUUGCUGAGGUCCUGAGCGAUGUACCCGUCAAACCCCCGCCGCAUGUCCUCUUCGGCCACUGCCACCACCAGCUCUGCCUGCUCGCUGCAUAGCUGCAGCCCCUCCAGCGCCAGCAGGAUGUUGGAUAGCUGUUGCGGGAUAAAUGCUGCAGCGAGCUCCGGUUUCCGGAGCUGCUGCAGUGCCUCCCCGCACAGCGCCUCAACUGCUGACCGGUACUCUGGUCCUGUGCACCCCAGAGCUUUGAGAGCCCAUAGGCUGUUUGAAACAUCUUGCGGCUUGAAGCCGUGGCCCGCCACCGUUCUCAAGCGAGAAGCCACAGCUGCCGCCAAGGUCUGCAAGUGCGGAGAUGAGGUGGGGUCCCAGCCUGAGCCCCGCUGCUGCUGGUCUUGCUUGAGCUUGCCGAGCGCGUACAUGACAAUUGCGAGGUUCUGAGGUUCCGCCUUCCCAAGAACCUCAGGAUCCACUAGCCGCUCCAGCAGAGCUGCUGCAAGCUGAGCCUCCGUGCCGCCGCCGACCAAUCCAGCUUUGCCCAGCGCCCACAGCGGAAUGCUGCAGUUCUUUGCGUUGCGGAUGCGCGGCACGAGCGGCAGGUAGGCCGGCGCAAGCAUGCCGAUAAUGCUGCUGCGUGCUACAGCCGUUUGGCUUGCUCCAGCGCGCGACUCCAGCUGCGUUCAAAGCAGUUAUGAGGGACAUACAUGGGGUCAAGUGCUAUAUGCAUGUGUUUGUGCGUGUGCGUGAACAGGUGCGCAUGCAAGUCCUGUGUGGCCAUCUGCGUCGUGAGAACCGGAAGUCCGGGCCGAGAACGACAACAAUGGACUCGCCCUCCAUUCUGCACUUCAUUUCUGUGCCCAUUCCCACCUGCACGUAUUAGUCCUCCCUCUCACCUUGCCGCACAGGUUGAACGCCGCACACAUGGUAAUGAAGUCUUUUCGGCCCUCCCACACUGAUAGCCGCUGGCUGAUGAUUGCUUGCAGCUCCUCCAGAGUCCGACACACGGUCAUGUCAUCCGCGGGGUCACGCCCGCUGCCCCUGCUUCUGCCGCUGGCGCGGCUGCCAUCGCCUGCCCUGCCUCCGCCGCUUCCCCUACCCGCCGCCGCCUGCACUAUUGGCCGCCCGAGGCGGGAGCUACUGCUGCCGCAGAGCACUACCGCCGUCGAGACGCGCAGUGGGGAUGAGCUGCUACUGUUGAGUGCUGGGACAGAAGUAGCGGCGGCAGCGCGCGGUGAGCUGGGGCCGGUGUCGGCAGCGGUCCGAUGCAUGCCAUAAACGAACAGUCUUCUAAACGCGCACGCCGGUGGCGGUGCCUGGAGACGGGCUGAUAACGAUUGGCUACAGCCAUGUACGCUGUGCCUGUGCGCACCAGCGGGAGAGCCCGCGACGACGCGCAGGGCGAGCAUCUCGGGCCUCCUCACGGCGGCGACCUGAGCUAUAGCGACUCUAUCCGUCUACGUGUCUGAGCACUGCAAAUGCAUUAGGCUUGCAUUUGUGGGAGAAUAACGCAAGGAACGAAAGGUCAGGUGCGUGUAGGUCGCUGGGCCAAAGCCGCCUGAGUAGCUGUGGCUUGGUAUGGAUGAUAAAGCAACUGAAUCAAUUUGCCACCGGUGUUGAGGCGAGGGCGACCUGACCGCGAAAUACACGGCCCGAGGGCACGCCCCGUAUCAACACCCCUCGCGACCUCCAAACACGUGCACUGAACCGCGAAGCCCUCCCCCAAGCCUAUCGCGGCUGCUAUUCCCAUGUCCUCCUCCCCAACCAUUCUGCAUACAGGCUCUGGCGUGAGUCCCUGCCCGCGUCAUUUGACACCCGUCGACCACGACUGAGGUGCAACGCAUGUCGCUUACAAAUCCAACAUCCCGCCCGACACGAGAGGGGCAGAAACGGCGGGGCAGACGGCCAGCCUCUUGAACAUGAGCAUAGCAGUGCAAUAUCGCACAUUGGGUCCCCGCCUGCUUCACCUGGCCACCUUUGCUGAUUUGUCUGACAUCCCUGUCUACACACUUUUAUCCGCCCACGCUUGAGACGUCCUCCUCAGCGCGCAGGCUUCACGGUACCAACCGUGCGGUAUCAUCGCUACAUGAUGAGUGCACUGCCCCAACCAUUGAAGCAUCACAAGGUGCUUGCCUGCCGCCGCCGCCGCUGAUACGUACACGAUUGCUGCCACACAACCAACACAUCACACCCAACAAUCACAACAACAAAACAACUGAGACCCGCCGCCGUGCAACGCACACUGUACACGCCCCAGGGCCGAGAACACAACGCAACACAAGCACCUGACAUGCCUCAUCCAGGCAUGCGUCACUCAAUCGCCCACCGAGCCGACCUCGCACACGCCGUUCGUGAGCCCCUGCGGCUGACAUGCCCGGCCCUGCCCCCUUGGCACCGCAGCCCUGCCGCCUUGGCACCGCCGCCCAUUGCCCCACCCCCAUGCUGCGUGCCAUGUAAGAAUAAAGCCAGGUCCCCAUCAAGCCGCAGCAUAUAUCCCCGCCAAGCCACCAGACUCCUCUUGCCGCACGCUACCAACCACCACCAGCACAGGACCGGCACCUGCCUGUCCCCCUGUUUAGUUUGGGCUGAUAUUUACAACCCCCCACCCUCCCCUCCCCACCUUCCCCAUUGCCAACCUCGCCCACCGCGCCGACAUGCACGCCGGCACCUCGCUCGUGCCUCUCGAGGCCUCCCAUCUUCCGUAGCUAGAGAUCCCUGUCCACGAGUAUCCACUUGGGCUCCAGCCCACUCCUGAUGCACACGCCGGCAUUACCCAGGUCUGCAUGGUUUGCAUGCCUGCCUGUCUACCGUGCACGCACACCUGCCUAGCUACGCAGACCUACUACCGUCCUUUUUGACCCGCCUCCGCCGCCACCGCCGCCGUCUCCUCCCUCUGGCCGCCGUGCCGGCCGCGCCAGCAGCUGCUGUUGUGGGUUGCCGCCAGAGCCGCCGCCGCCCUUGUUGCUGUUGGUGGUGGUGGUUGCGGGCUGGUGUGGCGCGGCCGUAGUGACAGCCGCAGCGCCGCCCACGGCACCCGCUGUCACUGUUUCCACCGCCACCGCCGGCUGCUGCAGCCGGCGCAGCAGGUAGGCCUCCUGCUCGGAAGGAGUCAGGAAGUCCCAUUCCCAGUACGGCACUAGUAGGACGCCGCCCUCCUUAAACGCCCGCCGCAGCUGCCGAAUGCGAAUGGCCGUACCCCCUUCCACAGCAGCGCUGGGGUCUUGCUGCUGCGUUUGUGUCAAGAGGUAACGUUUCGGUCCGAGGAACUCCACCGCCGCCUGCUGCCCGUCACUCAGCCGCACCACCGCAUCCACUGGCGCCAACACUCCUGGCGCGACAACGCCCGUCUGAAGGGACUGAAC
rnacentral:lncRNA from 1 species